GAGAAAUUAGUUCAAUUGGCAGAACGUUUGUUUUACACACAAAAUGUUAAAGGUUCAAAUCCUUUAUUCCUCA
rfam:Cordyceps confragosa RCEF 1005 scaffold_94, whole genome shotgun sequence.